rnacentral:rRNA from 1 species
UACGUAGGGUGCGAGCGUUAAUCGGAAUGACUGGGCGUAAAGGGUGCGCAGGUGGCUGAGUCAGUCGAUUGUGAAAGCCCUGGGCUUAACCUGGGAAUUGCAGUCGAUACUACUCAGCUAGAGUAUGGGAGAGGGCAGUGGAAUUCCCGGUGUAGCGGUGAAAUGCGUAGAUAUCGGGAGGAACAUCAGUGGCGAAGGCGGCUGCCUGGCCCAAUACUGACACUCAGGUGCGACAGCGUGGGGAGCAAACAGG